GUCUAAGUGACAUAGUUUUUGUCUUGAUACCAUAUACUACUGUAAAAUAUGCUGCAAGUUGCUUUAGUAUUGAUUAAGUUAAGAAAUAUUCUAAUAGAGUACUGCUGUUUCUGACAAUGUACUGUAGACCUUACUCUCUUAGGGAAAAACAUGGUAAAGAUAAAAAUUAAAAACACACAUGACUGUGUAAUACAGUAACAUUUAAUAUUUAUGCUUUACAUAUACCUCUCUAUCACAAUUAUAUAUUAUAUCUUUAUUCGCAUUGUCAGUGUACUACUGUUCCUUUCUUUCACAGGUGAAAAAAUAUCUCUUCUCUGGAAAUUCAUUUCCAUUUACUUAAAGUUAAAUGGUUUGACUUUGAAUUUUCAUUAUCUGCUGUUGGAAGGAGCCUGUGACAGGCGAAGAAGAGUACAUGAGCAGGAAAAAUGCAAAAUAAUUUGGCUUUCGAGAGACUGUAAGCUCUUUGAACAUAUUGUUAUAACUGAUGAUGGUUGACAUUGCAAAUCAUUCUGUCUUCCUUUUACUUAUAAGUCUUGAUAUCUGUAAUAGAGUGUGUACAUACUUAAAUAUGGUGCUGUUUGGUUAGCAGAACACACAUCUGGAGUUAAAUUAUUUAGCUUACAGUUUAAAAAUCUUCACUGUUAGUUAGGAAGAUAUUUGCAAACUAAAUGAAUAUCCUUUAAUAUGGUUUUCAGGGAAAACAAGCAUUUAGGAAAAAAAAGAAACAUACCAUAUACGUGCAAAAUCUGCUAGCUUGAGUGUACCUUUAUAGUUACCAAACAGUAUUUCCUCAGGUAUGGACUGCAUUUUUGUAUUGUUCAUUUUAUCACACACAAUAUUGUAUAAUCUACAAAAUAACAAUUUUUGCAAGCAAAUGCCAUGGGAUUUAUUAUUAAAAUAUGAUGCUGCAGGAAACUAAAAUUACUACUAACCUUUCAAAAGAGGUCCAGGGGUAAGUGCUCACUAUCAGAUAGAGAAAUUAGAAUUUUAGUCUCCCGUUAACUUCACUCAGAGUUGUGGGAAGAUCAGUAUCUUUGAGUGCCAAACCACUGGUUUUCAUACAUUAAUAUUCAGAAAUCUGGGCAACUCCAAAUGGAGACCACUGUCUGAGACACAGUCCUUGUUUGGAAAGCAAAACUGAGGAUUUCCCGAGGCUUCAUGCUGUGAGAAAAGGAGCUGUGGAGCAGAAGAUGAGUCAAUGACUUUUCCACCACCAAGGACUGAAAUUAAUGUGAGUGUGAAUCUGUAUUUCUUUGUUCAGAAUUACUGUAAAUGUUCUCUCAUGAAGAAAUUGCUCAGUCUAAAGAUAAUUAUAGUUACACAGUCAUCCAGGUGAAUUAGUGCAGGGAAACGAAGGCGGCUCACCUCAUUACUAAUGGACACAAGCAGUAUGCAGCAACUGCCUCUAAACGCUGGCUGUUCUGAAGCGCCUUAGCCUGGAUACCAGCAGUAGUAUCGGCUUGGAUAGCAGAUGUGUAUGCCCUGCUCACAGCUAAUUAUUUCUGCAGAGUGACAGUAUGAUGGUGAUUAAAAAUAUAUAUUAAUAUAUAUGGUAUAUUAGACCUAUAAAUAUAUCUUGCCUGAUUUAUUUGGUCUGAGCUCAUCUAUAAAUUGUCUGGCUUCUGAAGGAAAAUGGCAAAAUUGUCUUGCGUGUAGAGGGAUAGAUUUUAAGUUAAAUCAGUGGUUACAACAAAAAAUCUAAAUGAAUGACAAACUCUGAAGAGCUCAAACAAGGCAAAUUGAAAUACAUAAAUAUCAGAGGGCAUGUGUAUAUCUUGGACAGAUAGGAAAUCUGAGAUCUGGAUGGAUGGAAGGAAAAAACAAAUCUUCAGAUUAAAAUUUCCCUCUGAGAAACUAAGAAGAAUAAAAGAGCAUUUUAGUACA
rnacentral:lncRNA from 1 species